rnacentral:lncRNA from 1 species
AAAUUGUUUACAAAUUUUUUUCAAAAAAGUAGAUCUUAUUAAUUUAACUAAUUAACACAGGUCGAAACUGUAAAAAUUUAUGAUAUAAUAAAGACUAUUAAUUAUCAAAUAAUAAUUGAAUAAACGGUUGGAUUAAGAGCCUGUUUAGAGUUUACUAUACAAGUCAAAUGGGGAUAGAUCCAUAAAAAACGGAAUCCGACCACCCAUGACCCAUCAGAAUCUCUCUUUCUUUCUCCCCAAUGAUUUAACUUCUAAUAAUGAUUAAGAAGAAAAAGAAGUCAAAAUUACUUUAGGAAACACAAGAAGCACCCCCCAAAAUAAAGUAGCACUAUAAUUUUCUCUUGGACUAUCAACACUCACAUUGAAACAACCAACCAUAAUCUAUUCUACCUUUUCCAUUUCCUUUUAAAUAAACUAUUACAACAAUAUUUAUAAAUUACAUAGAUAUAUAUAUACCCUUCCUCUAUCCCUUUUACAAGGUCCCACAACCACUAGCAAAAAUUAGAGCCCCCACUAGAAAAGUGCCAUCAUCAUUUCCCACUAACCCCACCAAAAAGAAAAAAAAAAUAGCAUAUCAAGUGAGCUUUGACAAUUUUCCUCCUCCACUUGAGCUUGGCAAGACAUCAAGGGCCUGCCUGCAUUUUUUUUAGGCAUUGACAUCUUAACCUGUUUUGAGAGGAGAAAAAAAAAAACAACAAAAAAAGCUGGAAAGGAAAGGCAAAAGCAAGAACUAUGGCAUCUGACUUUGAUUGCAAUUUGAAAUUAGCCAACAUCCAUUUGGUGGAGUUGGAAUGGGACAAACAAAAUAUGGGACCCCAAACAUUUGGUGACUUUAAAUGGGACCAUGGGAUGCUUACCCAUUUCGAAGGUCUAUGAUGGAGGAUUUGUUUCUGGCUUCACAAUAGUAGAUGUAUCUGGUGGUUGUGUAUGGUAAAUUGCAGUGGCCAGUGAGAUGGGCAUGAUGCAAAGUGCCUUUGAUUGAAGAAACUGCAUGGCAGCACCAACAUUUUCUUCCAUCAGCUUUGCUACCUGUCGCUCCGUUCCAUCGUUCGACCACUUCUCCCACGCUGGUUGGUUUCUUCCAUCUUCGCCGGUUUCAUCCUAUAUAUCAGGAAGAGCUAACUUAGCCCAAGUGUGAAAAGGAAAGAAUGAAAUAUGUUAUAUUAUCCUCCAUAAAUAUCAUGUUUUCUUUAUUACCUCAACUGAAGAUAGUGGGAUAUCCGUUACAAGUGGUGCAACCGCACCAGCUCCGCCCAAUCUACUCAUGCUUAAAACCUGUUAAUGAUAAAAAAAUAUUGGUCAAUAAAAAGGGCCAAAAGCAAUAAUAAAAUUUCAACCAUCAUAACAUCCAUUUUUGUGGACACUCCAUUUCAGAAUGAGCGAGGAAUGCACUACUAAAUAAGCCAAUGAAUAUUCUAACUUCUAUUGCAUGAUUCACAUCUUUUUGUUAUAUUCAAUUUAUAAUUUGUCAUCCAUAGUGGAGGCAACAAUAUAUGUAAAUUUAUGAGCACACAAAACCGACCUAUGAAGUGAUUUUAAUAAAAUAUCAUAAUAAUUAUAUUUGUAAUUUUUACAAAUCAUUAAUUUAUAACAUGAAUGGAACAACAAAAUUGUUUACAAAUUUUUUUCAAAAAAGUAGAUCUUAUUAAUUUAACUAAUUAACACAGGUCGAAACUGUAAAAAUUUAUGAUAUAAUAAAGACUAUUAAUUAUCAAAUAAUAAUUGAAUAAACGGUUGGAUUAAGAGCCUGUUUAGAGUUUACUAUACAAGUCAAAUGGGGAUAGAUCCAUAAAAAACGGAAUCCGACCACCCAUGACCCAUCAGAAUCUCUCUUUCUUUCUCCCCAAUGAUUUAACUUCUAAUAAUGAUUAAGAAGAAAAAGAAGUCAAAAUUACUUUAGGAAACACAAGAAGCACCCCCCAAAAUAAAGUAGCACUAUAAUUUUCUCUUGGACUAUCAACACUCACAUUGAAACAACCAACCAUAAUCUAUUCUACCUUUUCCAUUUCCUUUUAAAUAAACUAUUACAACAAUAUUUAUAAAUUACAUAGAUAUAUAUAUACCCUUCCUCUAUCCCUUUUACAAGGUCCCACAACCACUAGCAAAAAUUAGAGCCCCCACUAGAAAAGUGCCAUCAUCAUUUCCCACUAACCCCACCAAAAAGAAAAAAAAAAUAGCAUAUCAAGUGAGCUUUGACAAUUUUCCUCCUCCACUUGAGCUUGGCAAGACAUCAAG